UUUAUGGAGAGUUUGAUCCUGGCUCAGGACGAACGCUGGCGGCGUGCCUAAUACAUGCAAGUCGAGCGAACAGAGAAGGAGCUUGCUCCUUCGACGUUAGCGGCGGACGGGUGAGUAACACGUGGGCAACCUACCUUAUAGUUUGGGAUAACUCCGGGAAACCGGGGCUA
rnacentral:ncRNA from 1 species